rnacentral:rRNA from 1 species
UAGUAACUGCGAGUGAAGCGGGAAAAGCUCAAAUUUAAAAUCUGGCGGUCUCUGGCCGUCCGAGUUGUAAUCUAGAGAAGUGUUACCCGCGCUGGACCGUGUACAAGUCCCCUGGAAUGGGGCGUCAUAGAGGGUGAGAAUCCCGUCUCUGACACGGACUACCAGGGCUUUGUGGUAUGCUCUCAAAGAGUCGAGUUGUUUGGGAAUGCAGCUCAAAAUGGGUGGUAAAUUCCAUCUAAAGCUAAAUAUUGGCGAGAGACCGAUAGCGAACAAGUACCGUGAGGGAAAGAUGAAAAGAACUUUGGAAAGAGAGUUAAACAGUACGUGAAAUUGCUGAAAGGGAAACGCUUGAAGUCAGUCGCGUUGGCCGGGAAUCAGCCUCGCUUUUGCGUGGUGUACUUUCUGGUUGACGGGUCAGCAUCAAUUUUGACCGCUGGAAAAAGGCUUGGGGAAUGUGGCAGCUCCGGCUGUGUUAUAGCCCCUUGUCACAUACAGCGGUUGGGAUUGAGGAACUCAGCACGCCGCAAGGCCGGGUUUCGACCACGUUCGUGCUUAGGAUGCUGGCAUAAUGGCUUUAAGCGACCCGUCUUGAAACACGGACCAAGGAGUCUAACAUGCCUGCGAGUGUUUGGGUGGAAAACCCGAGCGCGUAAUGAAAGUGAAAGUUGAGAUCCCUGUCGCGGGGAGCAUCGACGCCCGGACCAGAACUUUUGGGACGGAUCCGCGGUAGAGCAUGUAUGUUGGGACCCGAAAGAUGGUGAACUAUGCCUGAAUAGGGUGAAGCCAGAGGAAACUCUGGUGGAGGCUCGUAGCGAUUCUGACGUGCAAAUCGAUCGUCAAAUUUGGGUAUAGGGGCGAAAG